rnacentral:rRNA from 1 species
AAUAGAUACCCCGGUAGUCCACGCCGUAAACGAUGAGUGCUAAGUGUUGGGGGUUUCCGCCCCUCAGUGCUGCAGCUAACGCAUUAAGCACUCCGCCUGGGGAGUACGGUCGCAAGACUGAAACUCAAAGGAAUUGACGGGGGCCCGCACAAGCGGUGGAGCAUGUGGUUUAAUUCGAAGCAACGCGAAGAACCUUACCAGGUCUUGACAUCCCGGUGACCACUAUGGAGACAUAGUUUCCCCUUCGGGGGCAACGGUAACAGGUGGUGCAUGGUUGUCGUCAGCUCGUGUCGUGAGAUGUUGGGUUAAGUCCCGCAACGAGCGCAACCCUUAUUCUUAGUUGCCAUCAUUCAGUUGGGCACUCUAAGGAGACUGCCGGUGAUAAACCGGAGGAAGGUGGGGAUGACGUCAAAUCAUCAUGCCCCUUAUGACCUGGGCUACACACGUGCUACAAUGGACGGUACAAACGGUUGCCAACCCGCGAGGGGAGCUAAUCCGAUAAAACCGUUCUCAGUUCGGAUUGUAGGCUGCAACUCGCCUACAUGAAGCC